CCGAGUUCGCGCCCUCCGGGCAGACCUCCCACCCCCUGUGAUCACUACGAUCGUUGCCUUGGCGGGCCGCUGGGCCCUGCCCGGCCGCCGGCUCCGGCCGGCGCGUGCCCGCCAGAGGCCCCUCUAGACCCUGCAUGUUAGUGUCGUCCGAGUCCUGUAUAAUCGUUA
rnacentral:misc_RNA from 1 species